rnacentral:rRNA from 1 species
UACGAAGGGGGCGAGCGUUAUUCGGAAUCACUGGGCGUAAAGCGUGCGUAGGUUGUUUUGUAAGUUGGAAGUGAAAGCCCAGGGCUCAACCCUGGAAUUGCUUUCAAAACUACAAGACUUGAAUUCGGGAGAGGAUAGUGGAAUUGUCAGUGUAGCAGUGAAAUGCGUAGAUAUUGACAGGAACACCAGUGGCGUAGGCGACUAUCUGGACCGAUAUUGACACUGAGGCACGAAAGCGUGGGGAGCAAACAGG